GCAAAUUUGCAUCAGUAGAGUUGACCACUUCUCAGUAUUGCGAGAUGCAUCUUACAUGGUCAAGAAGAUAAUUCCUAUUCUGAACUACUUGCUCGUGUUGAUCAGUUUUGCCUAGUCCCAGUACCAUACAAAGAUGUUCAGCUGGAUAUAAACAUUUCUCCACGUCUCUCUUCUGAAUACAUAAGUUAUUUGGAAAAUCCUGUUGAGUUGCUCAAUGAAGCGGCAAAAGCUGCAGAGAAAGAUCUAUGGAAAAUCCUGUUGAGUUGCUCAAUGAAGGCUUUUGCGAAUCACUUGAAGCGUUAGUACUUUUGUGAAUGAUUUUGUAAAGUGUUUGCAAAUAUGUGCAAAACAUAAUAACAUGUGUAGGUUUUGUGAAUGAUUUUGUUGUGGUGCUUGUUGAUGGUUUAUGUGAUGUGGAUCUAUCAUUGUGCAAUACUAAUUAAAUUUGUAUAUCUAUGUGAUUAUGUGUAUAAAAAUUGGUGAUUUGUGAUGCUUUUGUAUAUAUAACAGUUGUUGAAUGCUAAUUAAUGGUAUAUUAUCAUUA